GCCCCCAUAGCUCAAUGGAUAGAGCCCCGACCUUCUAAGUCGGUGAUAGAGGUUCGAUUCCUCUUGGGGGCA
rnacentral:tRNA from 1 species